UGGGGAAUAUUGGACAAUGGGCGAAAGCCUGAUCCAGCCAUGCCGCGUGUGUGAAGAAGGUCUUCGGAUUGUAAAGUACUUUAAGUUGGGAGGAAGGGCAGUAAGCGAAUACCUUGCUGUUUUGACGUUACCGACAGAAUAAGCACCGGCUAACUCUGUGCCAGCAGCCGCGGUAAUACAGAGGGAGCAAGCGUUCAUCGGAAUUCCUGGGCGUAAAGCGCGCGUAGGUGGUUCGUUAAGUUGAAUGUGAAAGCCCCGGGCUCAACCUGGGAACUGCAUCAAAUGGUGGCGAGCUAGAGUAGGGCAUAGGGUGGGGGAAUUUUCUGUCUAGCGGUGAUAAACGUAGAUAUAGGAAGGAACACCAGUGGCGGAGGAGGCCACCUGGGCUCAUACUGACACUGAGGUGCGAAAGCGUGGGGAGCAAACAGG
rnacentral:rRNA from 1 species